CCUACGGGAGGCAGCAGUAGGGAAUAUUGCUCAAUGGGGGAAACCCUGAAGCAGCAACGCCGCGUGGAGGAUGAAGGUUUUAGGAUUGUUAACCCCUUUUGUGCGAGAAGCUAAUGACGGUAUCUCACGAAUAACCACCGGCUAACUCCGUGCCAGGAGCCGCGGUAAUACGGAGGGUGCAAGCGUUACUCGGAAUCACUGGGCGUAAAGAGUGCGCAGGCGGGAAUGUAAGUCAGGUGUGAAAUCCUGUAGCUUAACUACAGAACUGCAGUUGAAACUAGUUGUCUAGAGUGUGGGAGAGGUAGGUGGAAUGCUUGGUGUAGGGGUAAAAUGCAUAGAUAUCAAGAAGAAUACUCAUUGCGAAGGCGACCUACUGGAGCAUAACUGACGCUCAUGCACGAAAGCGUGGGGAGCAAACAGGAUUAGAUACCCGAGUAGUC
rnacentral:rRNA from 1 species